AUGUCUCAGACUGUUGUUCUCAAAGUUGGUAUGUCAUGUGAAGGAUGUGUUGGAGCAGUGAAGAGGGUUCUUGGAAAAUUGGAUGGCGUGGAAUCAUAUGACAUUGAUUUGAAGGAACAGAAAGUGGUAGUGAAAGGAAAUGUUGAACCAGAUACAGUUCUGAAGACAGUUUCCAAGACUGGGAAGCCAACUGCCUUUUGGGAAGGUGAAGCAUCAUCUGAGACUAAGUAA